ACUCUAGCCAAAAUUUCUAACCUUGUUAUAAAUAAAAUCAAAUUUAAAAUUAAUAGCAGUUGUAAUUAUAUUAGCUUAAAACUUGAUACUACCAACUUUAACACAUUAUAAUAAAAUAGGAUUAGACCCCUAGUAUAAAUGAGCUAAAUUAUCAUAAGAACUAAAUAAAACUUUAUUAAAUUUAACCCAUAUGGCGGCAUUUUACCCCUGGUGGGGGAGUUUGGCCUUAAAUUUGAUAGUCCCCACUACACCCCACCCAAAUUUUUCCCGUGUGUGGUUGUUUAAGGUAGUUUGUUAAAACACUAUUUAAUUCAAAUGAUACGCUGAAAUAUUUAGGGAGUGCUGAACUACUCUUCUAAAAUUAAUUGAACUAUAAAAUCAUAAAAGGACUCACUAGUAAAUAAAGAAACACUUUUGAAAAGGUCUUAAAAUGUGCACAAAUCGUCCGUCGUUCUCAGGCAU
rnacentral:rRNA from 1 species